GGCUAAACUGUCUCCUUUUUCCGGUCAAUGAAAUUGAUCUCCCCGUGCAGAAGCGGGGCUAUGCCCAUAAGACGAGAAGACCCUGUGGAGCUUUAGACAACAGGCCAGACCUUAUUCAGCCUCCCCCCUUAAUAAAGGGGCCAGCCCAAGGACGCUGACCCAAUGUCUUCGGUUGGGGCGACCCCGGAGCACACAAAACCUCCGUACGGAACAGGAGAACUUCUCCCACAGCCAAGAGUAACUACUCUAAGAACUAGAAUUUCUAACCAAAGGAUCCGGCAAAGCCGAUUAACGAACUAAGUUACCCCAGGGAUAACAGCGCAAUCCCCUUUCAGAGUCCCUAUCGA
rnacentral:rRNA from 1 species